GGGGAUCUUCGGAGCCCUUUAACCCUGGAUCCGACCUCGGAUCCGCAAGCUGACGGAAGACAGAAA
rfam:Rhodobacteraceae bacterium CG2_30_10_405 cg_3.0_sub100_scaffold_448_c, whole genome shotgun sequence.